GGUUGCUCGUCCCAUUUGCUGAACAACAUGUCACCAAAUAGAGCCAGGAACAGGGGGGCUCUGUGCUCCUGAGACAAACAGGAAAUUGGAAUCCCAGUGACAUGAUGAAAAGACUGGAAAUAACACCAUGCUGACAGAGUAGAGACGGUCUCUAUCGAUCAGUACAUCUAACAUGAAAAAACACUGUGCAAGAUGAAAAGGACUACAUGUUGGACUGAAGACAGAAAGCCUGUUUAUAAGAGGAAUAAACUUUGUCUACAGAUAAUAUAACCAAAGUUCUUGCAGAUGAACUCUGCUCAUUCACAGCCACUACCAGCAGUUCCCAUUUGCUUUGAGUUCUACUUUCAGUUCUGCUGUUGAGGAACUUGUUAGAGUGAUGAGCAAGCACCUCCUUGGGCUCCCUAGCAGGCAGUGCUAGGAAGAUGCUCUGCUGCUGCACUCAGUGCUUCUGUAGCAUCACCCUGACAGUGUGCUACUGUUGCCAUGAAGGGAUGCCAGCUUCAGCUGAAGGCACUUGGUUCCACUCUGGAUGAUGCUCUGUAGCUUCUAUGAAGUGUACAAAUAACAGCGCUACUCAUCUAGCACUACUGAAUGGCAGAUAGCACUGAACAACUCUGUAUGUAUCAUCAUAUUUGACCAAGGAGAAACUGAUGAAUUUUCACUGUGUUCAACAAGCUAUGAAAUAUCUAGUCCAGUGCCAGUGAAACCAGAACACUGCAGCAUCAUAAAUUAUCACUAUAGCACACAGGCUAUUAACCUUCCAAAACAUUCACCUCAGAGGCUAAACUUCGCAGUACUUCAGCUUCAAUUCUGAGAAAUGUCUCUUUUCCACAACAACAUGAUAAGUGAGAGUGAAUGAAGUCCCUUGCGCAACAAAUGCAGGUUUGAGGAAUACCUCUUCAUCCAUCUUUAAAUAAUAAGAGAAUGGCAAUAAGAGACGUGAUCUGACUGAACUUCUCUCUAUGAAAGCAUUUUAAAAUAUGGCACUUUACUCAUGGUAUUUUCAGAGGACAUGCAAAAUGCAGCAGAAAUUUGGAAGAAUUGAAUACUGACAUCUCUAACAGAAACCAGUAGGUCUGCAAAGACUCAUAGUGUCCUUGACUUGAAAAAAAAACACAAAACAAAACAAAACAAAAAACAAAAAACCCUAGAUUUCUUGUGUGAGCAGAGGGGGGAGGGGAAGGGGAGGAAGGAAUUAUAGAGAAUGACUUAGGUUGGAAGGGAUGUUAAAGAUGAUUGAGUUCCAGCCCCACUACCAUGAGCAGGGUUGCCCCCCACAGGAUCAGGCUGCCCAGGGCUCCAUCCAACCUGGCCUUGUAUGCCCCCAGCUGACAACAGGACCACCUAAAAAAGCAGUUUUUCUCUGUUAGUUGAUAGGGCAGGUGGAAAGGGUUUUUUACAAAGUAGUUGAUCUGAUUAUUAAACUACUGCUACUUCAAGAGCUUAAAGUGAGCUUAUCCCAGGCAAACUUUGAGGGAGGAGCUUUGUCAUAGACAGGGGGAUAUGCAUAUAUAUACACUACAUCUGGAUUAAACAAGAUGAUGCGUAUGUCUAUAAGGUAUUGCUGAAAACUGUUAUAGAAAAAGGUAAUAGCUAAGUAUUCAAUACCUAAUUUUCAUUCCCAAUAAUGUUUAGAAAAAAAAGAUGUAGCUGAAGAUGAAAUACACUCUGCAUUUCUAAAAUGGGCAAUUAUAACCAGAAAAAUGAAGUGAUUAGUCAGAAAUACUUCCUACAAUGGAAGGAGGAAAUAAAAGUGAAAUUAGCUGCUAAAGGGAUGAAAGUGCCUUCAACAAUAAUUCACCAUUCAGUCAGUGGUAAAGAGAGCUUAGUGGUCCGAAUAACAGAUUUUGAAAUAUUUAAUCUUCAGGA